AUACGGAGGGUGCAAGCGUUACUCGGAAUCACUGGGCGUAAAGCGCGCGCAGGUGGUUAGUUAAGUUGGAUGUGAAAGCCCUGGGCUCAACCUGGGAAUGGCAUUCAAAACUGGCUGACUAGAGUAUGGUAGAGGGAAGGGGAAUUCCAGGUGUAGCGGUGAAAUGCGUAGAUAUCUGGAGGAACAUCAGUGGCGAAGGCGCCUUCCUGGACUAAUACUGACACUGAGGUGCGAAAGCGUGGGUAGCAAACAGGAUUAGAAACCCUAGUAGUCC
rnacentral:rRNA from 1 species